rnacentral:rRNA from 1 species
UACGGGGGGGGCAAGCGUUGUUCGGAAUUACUGGGCGUAAAGGGCGCGUAGGCGGCCACCGCAAGUCAGUUGUGAAAGCUCUGGGCUUAACCCAGAAAGGUCAACUGAUACUGCGGGGCUAGAGUGCAGAAGGGGCAACUGGAAUUCUCGGUGUAGCGGUGAAAUGCGUAGAUAUCGAGAGGAACACCUGCGGCGAAGGCGGGUUGCUGGGCUGACACUGACGCUGAAGUGCGAAAGCUAGGGGAGCGAACGGG